CCUACGGGUGGCAGCAGUGAGGAAUAUUGGUCAAUGGGCGCGAGCCUGAACCAGCCAAGUCGCGUGAGGGAAGACGGUCCUAUGGAUUGUAAACCUCUUUUGUCGGGGAGCAAACGACGCCACGCGUGGCGUUCCGAGAGUACCCGACGACAAAGCAUCGGCUAACUCCGUGCCAGCAGCCGCGGUAAUACGGAGGAUGCGAGCGUUAUCCGGAUUUAUUGGGUUUAAAGGGUGCGCAGGCGGAAGAUCAAGUCAGCGGUAAAAUUGAGAGGCUCAACCUCUUCGAGCCGUUGAAACUGGUUGUCUUGAGUGAGCGAGAGGUAUGCGGAAUGCGUGGUGUAGCGGUGAAAUGCAUAGAGAUCACGCAGAACUCCGAUUGCGAAGGCAGCAUACCGGCGCUCAACUGACGCUCAUGCACGAAAGUGUGGGUAUCGAACAGGAUUAGAUACCCCUGUAGUC
rnacentral:rRNA from 1 species